AUGUGGAUCCACCGAAGAAAAACUCGUUUGAGCCUUUGGGACCCAUUUGUCAAGUGUGUCAAAGAAAAACAAUGGGAUCCCAGGAAAAACAUCAAUUCAAUUCCAUUCCAUCUGGUACUCCGCCUGUGCGCCGCAGCCAUCUAUUCCAUUGUAAUGCAUGUCCAUCUCCGGUCUGCCAUCACCUCCCUGGCCUCACUAGUCGUCCGUUCCUUCUUUGGUAAUGGAACCUGCAGCCGAGCGGGAGUGGGGUUUACGGGCUUAGCAGGUGGGGCCAUGUUUAUGAUGUGGGAUGGCUUCAGCAAGAGAUAA
rnacentral:rRNA from 1 species